rnacentral:rRNA from 1 species
GACGAACGCUGGCGGCGUGCUUAACACAUGCAAGUCGAACGAGUGGCGAACGGGUGAGUAACACGUGAGUAACCUGCCUUUUCUUUGGGAUAACGCUCAGAAAUGGGUGCUAAUACUGGAUGGAGGGAGAUGGGCUCGCGGCUUAUCAGCUUGUUGGUGGGGUGAUGGCUUACCAAGGCUUUGACGGGUAGCCGGCCUGAGAGGGUGGGCGGUCACAUUGGGACUGAGAUACGGCCCAGACUCCUACGGGAGGCAGCAGUGGGGAAUUUUGCACAAUGGGGGGAACCUUGAUGCAGCCAUGCCGCGUGUAUGAAGAAGGCCUUCGGGUUGUAAAGUACUUUCAGCGAGGAGGCGUUACUCGCAGAAGAAGCACCGGCUAACUCCGUGCCAGCAGCCGCGGUAAUAC